AUGCCGGAAACAGUGAACAUCACGAUUAUUGUUCUUAUACCAAAGGUGAGAAAUCCGCAAAAUAUCACUCAGUAUAGACCAAUAUCUUUGUGUAAUGUUCUCUAUAAAAUAUGUUCGAAGGUGCUUGGUAACCAUCUGAAAGAGAUCCUUGAUGAGAUUAUUGCAGAG
rnacentral:rRNA from 1 species